rnacentral:rRNA from 1 species
UACAGAGGUCUCAAGCGUUGUUCGGAUUCAUUGGGCGUAAAGGGUGCGUAGGCGGCGCGGUAAGUCGGGUGUGAAAUCUUGGAGCUUAACUCCGAAAUGCAUUCGAUACUGCCGUGCUUGAGGACUGGAGAGGAGACUGGAAUUUACGGUGUAGCGGUGAAAUGCGUAGAUAUCGUAAGGAAGACCAGUGGCGAAGGCGGGUCUCUGGACAGCUCCUGACGCUGAGGCACGAAGGCUAGGGGAGCAAACGGG